GGCAGCGGGGGGCUGGGGGGCGCCGCUUGCCCUCGGGGUUCGCUUUCUGCGGGCUGGGCUGCGUUUGGGGGGGUUGGUGCGGGGCUGUGGCCGCAGAGCGGCUUUCUCAGCGGUGCUUGUGAGGAUCCGCGCGUUUUCUAACGGUUGGGUGUCAUAAACUUCACGCUACGAACUCCUAGUUCGGUUUUUAUCCCAACAAGCGAGCUGAAUAUGCCUGCCAGCAACGUCUGACAAUGAAUGAAUCACAGAACCAUUAGGGUUGGAAAAGACCCCAAGAUCAUCUGGUCCAACCGUCCCCCUACCACCAGUGUCACCCACUAAACCAUGUCCCUAAGCACCACGUCCAACCUUUCCUUGAACACCCCCAGGGACGGUGACUCCACCACUCCCCUGGGCAACCUCUUCCAAUGCCUGACUGCGCUUUCUGCGAAGAAUGCCAAUGUGCUCCACCAGCGAACCUGCAUCUCUCAGAGAGAAAUGAAACAUCCUGGCUUCAUCUGUGAAAGUGUUUUAAUGUCACAAAGUACCUGGAAAGUGCACAAAACAUCACUAGAGGAAGCCUCAUCUGUUUCAGUGCAAAAAGUGUUCAUCAUCAUCAUCAUUUGAAAAUGAGCAGAUAUCUUUGUGUAGCUCGCCAUUAAUAGUCUACGUUCAAUGUAUCCACUCUGAUUUUACCAGUCCUGUGAUGUCCAGACCCUCUAGGGUUGCCGGGUUUACCUCCAUCAUGACUCUUCAUGACACAUAACACCUCCAUCAUGACACAUAACAUAUACGCUGCGUUGGUUGAUGAUGUAUUGAUCACCAAAACCUGCUGGAGCAUGGAGCUGGCAUACACUGCAUAGAGGGUGAGGUCAGAAGCCUUUCAAAUAUGAAAUCUGCCCUUACAACUCCAUUGAUGCAAGUAGUGAAGUGGCAGCAUUUACGAACACACACACGAGUGAGAUGCCUUGUGAAUGUUGGCUCUGUUCAUAAAGAUGGAUUCAGAAGACAAGGUUGGACCUUCUCAUGUACACCAACAUCGCACUGGUGAGGCAUUUGGCUGUAGUUUUUGCUGCUAUUCUUCCCCUGACAAACAACUUCUCUGAAAACACAUUAAGAAAUAUCACCUGGGUGCAGGAACCUCAUUAACCAGUUCCCAGCCCACUUUUGCUCUCAAAUCACUUCUUAUGGAAUGUUAGGUUCUUCGUGCUUAAGUUUCCACCAGAGCAUCCCAGCAAAUAAAGAAGCUGUUGGCAUUGUCAGACUUUUGCGCUGAAAGCCAGGGGUGAUCUGGAAGAAGAGAAGGAACAGUCCUCUUGUGGCAAUUAGAAGUACGGGUGACAUAUUCAAAUAAGAUGCUUAAGAUGGUCAUCCCCAAAACAUGUGUGCAUGUUACGGUACAGGUUGUAACUCUAAUUUGCUGAAAGGAGCAUGGAGAUUUGUGUUCUGUAAAGGGUGAAUAUGUUGGUUUUUCAUUCUGGUUACAUCUUCCUGAUACAUUCUGCUUAAUUACAAAUGAAGAUUUUGACAUUUGAAGGCAGAAUCUGUUGAAAUGUGCUUGAACUAACAUUGAACCCUACAGGUUGUUUCUGUGCUACAUCUCUCAUUUUUAAUAUUGGUCUCUUUAUAUAAAACAUUAAAGGAUUCAAGAAAAUCUGUUGACACAGUAAUACUUGUAAGUCAGUAAAUUGUUUCCUGGAUUUUUUUUAACAAAGUAUAUCUAUUAUGAACUAGUCCAAGUUAAAGUAAAAAUAUAAACUAUUGAAAUACGACAUCAAAUAAACCUGACUUGAAAAU